UGGGGAAUAUUGGACAAUGGGGGAAACCCUGAUCCAGCCAUGCCGCGUGCGUGAAGAAGGCCUUAGGGUUGUAAAGCGCUUUCGGCGGGGAAGAUGAUGACGGUACCCGCAGAAGAAGCCCCGGCUAACUCCGUGCCAGCAGCCGCGGUAAUACGGAGGGGGCUAGCGUUGUUCGGAAUUACUGGGCGUAAAGGGCGCGUAGGCGGGCGAUCAAGUCAGAGGUGAAAGGCCUGGGCCCAACCUGGGAAUUGCCUUUGAAACUGAUUGUCUAGAGUCCGGAAGAGGAUGGCGGAAUUCCCAGUGUAGAGGUGAAAUUCGUAGAUAUUGGGAAGAACACCAGUGGCGAAGGCGGCCAUCUGGUCCGGUACUGACGCUGAGGCGCGAAAGCGUGGGGAGCAAACAGGAUUAGAUACCCCCGUAGUCCCUGAGCGGGCUGGCAAGGCGCAU
rnacentral:rRNA from 1 species